rnacentral:rRNA from 1 species
GAUGAACGCUAGCUACAGGCUUAACACAUGCAAGUCGAGGGACCGGCGCACGGGUGAGUAACACGUAUCCAAACUGCCCUUUACUCGGGGAUAGCCUUUCGAAAGAAAGAUUAAUAACCGAUAUAAGGGAGGGGGAUGCUUUCCAUUAGGUUGUUGGUGAGGUAACGGCGCACCAAGCAUUCGAUGGAUAGGGGUUCUGAGAGGAAGGGCCCCCACAUUGGAACUGAGACAAGAUCCAAACUCCUACGGGAGGCAGCAGUGAGGAAUAUUGGUCAAUUGGCGCUAUCCUGAACCAGCCAAGUAGCGUGAAGGAUGAAGGCUUAUGGGUCUUAAACUUCUUUUAUAUAAGAAUAUGGAUUAUAUGAAUAAGGAUCGGCUAACUCCGUGCCAGCAGCCGCGGUAAUUC